rnacentral:lncRNA from 1 species
AAACAGACCUAAAAUCGCUCAUUGCAUACUCUUCAAUCAGCCACAUAGCCCUCGUAGUAACAGCCAUCCUCAUCCAAACCCCCUGAAGCUUCACCGGCGCAGUCAUUCUCAUAGUCGCCCACGGACUUACAUCCUCAUUACUAUUCUGCCUAGCAAACUCAAACUACGAACGUACCCACAGUCGCAUCAUAAUUCUCUCUCAAGGACUUCAAACCCUACUCCCACUAAUAGCCUUUUGAUGACUUCUAGCAAGCCUCACUAAUCUCGCCUUACCCCCCACUAUUAACCUACUAGGAGAACUCUCUGUGCUAGUAACCACAUUCUCCUGAUCAAAUAUCACUCUCCUACUUACAGGACUCAACAUACUAAUCACAGCCCUAUACUCCCUCUACAUAUUUACCACAACACAAUGAGGCUCGCUCAGCCACCACAUUAACAACAUAAAACCCUCAUUCACACGAGAAAACACUCUCAUGUUCAUACACCUAUCCCCUAUCCUCCUCCUAUCCCUCAACCCCGAUAUCAUUACCGGGUUUUCCUCCUGUAA